GCCUCGUUAGCUUAGUGGUAGAGCGUUCCCUUCGUAAGGGAAAGGUCAAUCCUCAAACGGGGCA